rnacentral:lncRNA from 1 species
GUGAACGAAAAUCUGUUCACCUCAUUUACUGCCCCGACAAUCCUAGGUUUACCCGCAGCAGCACUAAUCAUCUUGUUUCCCGCCACACUCCUUCCAACCUCCAACUAUUUAAUUAAUACAAGAUUGAUUUCUAUUCAACAAUGACUAGUUCAACUUGUUCUAAAACAAAUAAUAAUCACACAUAAUAUUAAAGGACGAACCUGAUCCCUUAUACUAAUAUCCCUAAUUCUCUUUAUUGCCUUAACCAAUCUCCUUGGGCUUCUACCCCACUCAUUUACACCAACUACUCAACUAUCAAUAAAUCUCGGUAUAGCAAUCCGCUUAUGAGCAGGAACAGUAAUCACAGGUUCCACUUUAAAACUAAAAACUCCUUAGCUCUCUUCCUGCAAGGCACGCCCAUACCACUUACCCCUAUACUAGUAAUCAACGAAACCAUUAGUCUACUUAUUCAACCAAUGGCACUAGUUGUACAUUUAACAGCCAAUAUUACGGCCAGUCACUUACUCAUACACUUAUUGGAGGAGCCACACUAGUAUUAUCAACUAUUAACCUUCCCACAGCUUCAAUUACCCUUAUUAUUCUAAUUCUAUUGACCACUCUCGAAUUCGCUGUGGCCCUUAUCCAAGCUUAUGUCUUUACGCUAUUAGUAAGCCUUUAUUUAUAUGACAACACA